GAUGAACGCUGGCGGCGUGCCUAACACAUGCAAGUCGAACGGGGAUAGGAUGAAACCUAGUGAUUCCUAUUCUAGUGGCGGACGGGUGAGUAACGCGUGGAUAACCUGCCUUGUACAGGGGGAUAACACCUGGAAACAGGUGCUAAGACCGCAUAAGCGCACAGUCCCGCAUGGGACAGUGUGAAAAACUCCGGUGGUACAAGAUGGAUCCGCGUCUGAUUAGCCAGUUGGCGGGGUAACGGCCCACCAAAGCGACGAUCAGUAGCCGGCCUGAGAGGGUGAACGGCCACAUUGGGACUGAGACACGGACCAG
rnacentral:rRNA from 1 species